rnacentral:rRNA from 1 species
CAGUAGCCACGGUAAUACGGAGGGGGCUAGCGUUGUUCGGAAUUACUGGGCGUAAAGCGCACGUAGGCGGCUUGGUAAGUUAGAGGUGAAAGCCCGGAGCUCAACUCCGGAAUUGCCUUUAAGACUGCCGAGCUAGUAGGUGAGAGAGGUAAGUGGAAUUCCGAGUGUAGAGGUGAAAUUCGUAGAUAUUCGGAAGAACACCAGUGGCGAAGGCGGCUCACUGGACUGGUAUUGACGCUGAGGUGCGAAAGCGUGGGGAGCAAACAGGAUUAGAUACCCCGGUAGUCCCUGUCUCUUAUAC